ACACACCGCACUCGUUACAACGAGCCCGCGGUGAUCCUUAUACUCCGGACCACCCCAGCCCACGACCCGCUCGCGUCUAACCACCACGCCCGCCUGGUUUGGCCGCUCCGCGCGCGCGCACGGCGCGCUCUGCGCGCUCCCGCCGCGAGCCCUCAACAACCCAGUACGUGGACACCGCGAUCUGCGCUCGCCCCGGCUGGCAAUUCCAGACAACACACGCACACACGCACGCCUACACCCACGGUCCCGACGCGCCGUCUACCCCUAGCCCGUGCCCAUACACGCGCUAAGGACGGACAGCCCGCCGCCGCGGCUUAUUCCCUG
rnacentral:lncRNA from 1 species